GUGGUCCCCAAGUGUCCUUCGUGGAGUUCUUAUUCCGUGUGAGCGAAUCGUGCGUCGGUGUUUACUUAGCUGUAUGGCCCCAGCCUGUUAACUGUGAUCUGUUCUACUUCUGGAGAUUUCUACCAUUUACUAUUUAUUGAAUGUGUGUGCACCUGGCUCUGUAUGCACUGAUGUCUGUUUGUAGAAAAUGGGUAAUUGUGCAUGUUUGAAAAACGGGCGCUUGAGUUGGUGCUGAAUGCCUAUAAACCAUGUUAGCAGCUAAGUCUUCCCAGGGAAAUACAUCGAUCUCUGCUGCAAGCCUAGAAACUGACUAAUGUAAAAUAGUAAAUGUCAUAUAAAGAGAUGUAUGUCAAAUAAUAAACUUUUGAUAAAAAGCUACAGGAACCACUUCUCUUUGAGGAAAAACAAAUGUCCAUGUAACUAAUACCUAAAAUUGAAUGUUGAUGGAACCGUUUAACUCAGAACUAG
rnacentral:lncRNA from 1 species